UUCUUUGGUCUCCUCAAUUAGCCCUAUCUACUCUUCCCAGCUUCCAGCUGACCACAGUCUGCUUCCCCACUGCAGCGUUCCUUCUAGAAGUCUGCAAGCUCCUGAGCACCAUAGGAACAAAGCCCCAUGGACUUUUCUACAAGCUGCAUCUAAUAUUUGGGGUAAGAGACCCUGGUUUCUGUGAUGCCUCCAUGCAGCGAGCCUGAAAUUCUGGAACAGAUUCAGUAUCUCCUCUUUGCAGCCUGGAGUGAAACCAGCGGAAGAAAAUGAAUGCUCCUUUAUUUCAGUGUAUGAAAUUAAAUGUCUCCGGAGAAACAGAAAAUAUGAUUAGGGGUCAACUUGUUGGUUCAAGUGCUAUGACUCUGAGCCUUUUGUGUUUGAUUCAGAGCCAAUGGAAGUGAGCUGGAGUCCAUAUCGUGCCACUCCAUCACCAUUGUCAAUAACUGGCACUCUUCUUGUCAUUCUCAAUAGACAAGGAUUGGCUAGAACUGCCCUCUCAUCUAUGCAGCCUGUGAGCUCCUUCGAGUAGAGACCCUCCUUCUUGAAUGCUCAGAAAGCAUUGAGCGCAGAGGGAUGAUAUAAUAAAUGAUCAUCACCAUCAUCAUGGCAGAUCCCAAAGAGGCAUCCCCUCCUUGUGUAUUGAGUUCCAUGCAGCUCAAUCUGCGGGAUCCCGGAAUGGCCCUUUCACAAGGCUUUGUUGGUCAUUUUCGCCUCCGUGGCCAUUUGGGCCACAAGGACACAGGUGGUCAACUUCACUAUAAACCCCCUCAUGAUGUGAAGGUACAGACCCUGGAGGGUGCUAUAAUAAAUAAAUGAUAGUCGUCAUUUUUUUUUUUUUUUGGAUGCUGAACGUUUGGUAUGUUGUCUUUUUAGUUUCCCAUCUUUCUUGUACAGGAACAUAAUGGCUAUGGGUGAGAUUCUGUGCUGCAGCUCUCAGAGGCCCAUAACAGAGCUCUUAGCUCGGAGGAGGGGCCCCUCUGGGGCCUCCAACUUAAUUUGGAAAGCUCUGGGGGGCUGUCUAAAUUACAUCAGGCUCCUGGGCUACAGUGCUGCUCAGAAUAUCUGUAGCAUCCUAUGCUGCAACCUUGACCUGACACGCCCUUCCCACUCCCUGCCCUAUCUCUCUGCCUCCUACACUAGAGUCAGUGAGGGCGGGUAAUUAGAGGGCAGCCUUACAGCUGUCAACCAGAGAGCCUGCAGCAGGGGAAUCCUCCCCUGCCUGAAUAUGAGGCUUUUAAGGCCCCUUUCUGCCAUGCCAGUCUCUUUAUCUGAUGUAAAGGAGCUGGAGUGGGAAGGAAAGUGGGGGUGAUCUCAUCUAUGUAUACAGAUAUACGCUGUGUGGACAGAUGGACAUGUGCAAUCGAUAUGAAAUGUGUGUCAUUUUAAAUGGUGUUUAAACCCCAUUAAAAUGUGGGAAAAUAAA